GAAGAGUUGAGGGGCCAGGCCUUUGGGCUCGAAGCAUUUUGAGAGAAUAGAGUCACUUAUUGUCAUUCCUAAAUCUGGAAUUGCACUUAUUGUGCUGACCCCACAUAACCUUGUGCCCAAUUCCCAGAUCAAUUGCAGAUAUGGAGUUAAGGGCAGAAAAUAGGGCGUUUUGUCUUAAGUGAGGAAGGUGACAGAGACCAACUCUUUUGCCCUCAAGAGCUCUUAGAGCAUACAAUAGACCACGUGAUAAGGGCCCAGCUUCCAACCUGUCCACUCAUUCUAGAUGUCAAGUUUCCAGGUAUAGCAGAGGUACACAGAGAAGUCAGCUCUGGAAGUGACAGGGCCCUGUCCCUAGUUUGGGGGGAGGAGACCUUCUUUCAGAGUCAGGGAGUAGAGCAGAGGGAGCAGGGAGGAAAAAACCUGAGCAAGUUAUUUCCACCAGCUGAGCCUCAAGACAGAGCUGCUUCCCCCGCUGGGUGGCCCUGGGUCCUGGGCUUCUACCACAGGUCUGCCUCAAGGAGGCCAUGGUGAUCUUCCCCACACGGAGCUUUUCUGGUGCCUAGAAGUUUCCUUGCACUUCAGAGAAUGCCAGUUUGGUGUCAAAUUAAUCUUGACAAAAUGUGCUGAGGACCUAAGAAAGGGUAGGAAUAAAGGUGGCCAGAGGCGGCAGGCCAGCUGAAGGAGAGGCCAGGCUUUCAUACAUACCAAGGCCUUGAAGUCAGAAACCUGCGGGAGGGAGCCCAAGUUGAGGCAGGAGGGAAAGCGCUUGGCCUCCACCCACAGGCCCAGGCUCAUCGGGUGGAUGGAGAGGGGGAUGAAGAGCGGGGGAGACCUCCCUCCCCUGCUUGUGGCCUUCCCUGUCCUUGCAGCUCUGGGUCUGAUCCGGGCUCUUCUCUCAGCUCGCAAAGCCUUUGCCCUCUGGCCGCAGCCUGGCUUUCCAGUUUCAGGCCCCAAAGGGCUGGGCCCACAAGCCUGAGGGAGCUGUCCUUCCUGGGACUGCCUGAGCCCUUCUCUCUCCCAGGUGGCAGUUGGGUCCACCCCAGGGAAUCUCUCACUUUGGUGUGACUGACAAGUGUCUGUGGAGGUUGUGAAGUAAGGGGCCUGGUCCUCCCCUUGGGUGGCCUUGUUCCUGAGCUCCCUGGGGCCUCUUCGGCAUACCUGAGUGACACUCCCUCCUCUCAGGGAUUAUGAGCCAGGUACUAAUUGGGGUCUCAAAUAUAGGCUCCUAGGAACAAGUCCGUUUCAAUUUCUCAGUAAUUUCCAUUUCAAGAAUCACUUAGGGGGCUGGGGAUUUAGCUCAGUUGACAAAGUGCUUGCCUCGCAUGCAUGAGGCCCUGGGUUCAAUCCCCAGCACCACACACACAAAAAAAAAAAAAAAAGAAAGAGAAGAAAAAAAAGAAUCACCAUGGACUUGUGGGAUUCCUACCCUCCUCUGUGACUCCAUAGUGCCAUCAUAUUGAGGUCACGUUGGUGCAGGUGGAGGUGGCUCCUCCAGGGGGAUGUCCACGGACUCUCCAGGUGCAAAGGCUGGUUACUUUGGCCAUGAUAUAGCCGGGGUCACAGUCUCAGGCGAGAGAGAAGCAGCGAGUGCCCCUGUUAGACUUAGAACGUAUCAACCUGUGACCGUGAAGACCAGAGCCAGUGGAAGGAAGGGGCGUGAAGGGGUCUGCUCCCCAAACCUUCUCCCUCCCCAGGCUUCGCAUUCCCUGUGGCUAGAGACGUUCUUUGAAACCUUAAAGUCAUUUUUCACUUCUUUCCAGCCUCAUUCUAGAAUAGUGAAGAACUUUAAAUAUCUUCCUGCCCAGUCUCUUAUUUGUUUACUUAUCCCGAGCCACUGGGAUUGCAGGCAUGUGCCACCAUUCCAACCCAGGCCCUUCACUUUACAGGUAAACAAAUGGGGACCCAGGAUGCGCCGUGACUCACCUUGGCUUCCGGGGCAAACAGGGUUAGCUUCAGACUUUCAUAUAGGCAUGAAGUCCUGGUCUUUUAAGCCAACAGGUUUCUUCUUCACAUAUUCGCGGGUCCCCUUCCUGACUAAGCUCUCCUCUCCUCCUGUGUGAAUGACAUUGAUCAAUGCAAAAGCUUAACACUUUACCCGUGACACCCAUGGAAUGCCUUCUGUCCUUUCUAACCUCACAUCCUACUCAUUCCUCAAGUGGCUCAGAUGCCACCUCUUCCAGGAAGCCGAUGACUGGCCCUGGCAUGACUUCUUCCUUCCAGCUGUAUUCAGCCUGCAAAAUCCAUGGCGCUCAUACCACGGUGUGACGGUAGGGAGGCUGCAUCCAUGUCCUCACCACUUCAAUAAUUGGAUUAUAACUUCUUAAGAGCAACGGCCUUGCCUCCCAUGUCUGGGUUUCCUUGGCAGGAUCUGACAUUCGAGAUCUGAGGCCAAGCACGGUGGCACAGGCCUAUGAUCCCAGCUGCUCAGGAGGCUGAGGCAGGAGGAUUGCCAGUUCACGGACAGCCUCAGCAACUUAGCAAGACCCUAUCUCAAACUAAAAAGUGCUGGGGGCAUGGCUUUGUGUUUGUUAUGCUGGUGCCACACACACACACACACACACACACAGUGAUAAGAUCUUAGUCACUUCUUGUGGAAUACAUGCACAAGGAGGAGACUUGAGAAAAAUGCUUAGGAAUGUCCCCUAGGCCAUUGUCCCAAGUGAACCAGGGACACAAACUGAGAAGAAAGUGUCCAAUUUAAGGAAUGAGAAAGUCCCUAGAGAAGCUGAAGGCAGGAGCAAGCACAGAAGGAAAGGUGAAGUAGACACCAGGCAACGGCAAGGGAGAUCAGAACUUAGGGGUUGGGCUUGCUGCCGAGAUGCAGGUUGAGACAGGAGGUGACCCAUGCUCACCCCUCUCACCAAGGCACAGGCUCGACUGUCUGCAGGUCCCACCUGUGGCCAGGCACACUGACUGGGUGACACUGGCCCCCUAAUAGAAUUUCAGUUACAAGAAGUUGCUCUUCUGGAGAUGGGAACUGGGACCUGCUCAGGCCAAGACAUGCACCUGGCUCUCGGGGUUUCCCACUCUGCCUUCGGCCCAUCUCUUCAACUGGACUCUUUUCACAUCCAGGCUCCCAAACUGGCCAAGUAUUUGAACACUCCCUGGUGCCUUGUCUUGGCCAGUGUGGCAGAGAUCUCCCUGUCUCAGCCUCCCAGGAGCUGCCUCAGGCAUUUUGAAACUCAUUAUUUUCUCUUUUCUCUCCCCAGCUCAAGUGCAUCACCUCAGUUUUUUGUUUUUGUACCAUGGACUGAACCCAGGGACGUCUAACCACUGAGCCACAUCCACAGUCCUUUUUAAAAAAUAUUUUAUGUAGAGACGGAUGUUGCUAAAUUGCUUAGGGCCUCACUAAGUUGCUGAGGCUGGUUUUGAAUUCAUGAUCCUCCUGCCUCAGCCUCCCAAGCUGCAGGGAUUACGGGCAUGCGCCACCACCCCUGGCCAGUACCUCAGUCUUCAAGGACUUUUGUGCUGUGGUGCCGGCGGUGGAAUCCAGGGCCUUGCACAUGCUAGGCAAGCACUCCACCACUGAGCCACAAAGGCUUUUGUGAUUCAUGACAUCAUUUGCCAGUCUUAAAAUUUCAUGAAAUAGGAGUGUGCCAGUGGGCAUCACUUCCAUUUACCACACGAGGAAAUGAGGCACGUUGGGGGGCAGAACGGGGGCCAGAACGGUAGUCUCUGGACUCUAACUCCUUUCCUGACUGAGGAAGGGCGAGGGACGGGAAGUUAGGCUGGGUUUCAGGUACCCUAAGGAAGGAGCGGGUGCUCUUACCCAGGGGAACCUACAGCUCCCCAGAGCAGGCAGGGACAUGAAGGAGCAUAAGCCAUCCCCUUAUGUCGCAAAGCAAACAGCCCAGGAAGUCAGGAGCUGCCCUAGGCCACAGGGUCAGUGAGUGACCGCAGAGGGAGGAGCCCUGGCCCUGCAGAGUGGUCUAAGUCACCUGUGGACCUUUGUUCUCCAGGGCCUGGGUGUGGACGGAUCCAUCAGCAGAUGUCUGUGAGACCUCUGGUGAGUCACUUUGUUUUUAUUUAUGAGCAGCAAUGCUCAGUUCCCUGGCCAGAUGUGUGUCGGGAAGUAUGGACCAUGCUGUUGGGUCAGUGUUCAGUGGGGUUUAAAUGAGAUGAUACACACAAAGUUCUCACUUGAACAGUGCCUGGCCCACAGUAAGUCCCCCUCAAGUGGUGGCAGAUACUAUGAUUUAGAGUUUGAACAUUCAAACACUAUUUGUCUAUACAAGUAUGGCUAACUAUGCUCUCACCCUUCAAAGGAAGCCAUUCUUCAGGUCUCAGCAUGAAGCUGUUGAGCAGUCUGGAUUGUUCCACAGCCCGAGAAGCGCGCCUCUUUGAUUUAAUUGACCUUGAGCCACCCUCAAGUCCAUUCUCCGAGUCUGGAGCCAGGAGGACCCCAUCUGCUCUGCAGCCUGCCAGGGACCUGUCUUCAGCAGCUGACUCUAUUCCCUGGCUCUGGCUCGUGGCCCCAGAUUACUAGGGAUCUGAACACCAAGAGGGGCUCGUCGCUGCCCACUGACGGAUGACUGAGAACAGGUGGGUCCUGAAAGCCAGCCAGAGCCUAUUUAUGGUGAGGCAAAGCCAAUCCAAGCCAAGAUUCUGGAGACACUAAAGAGAACAUUCCUACCUCCAUUUCUGUCUGCUGGGAAGGCUGGGCACAGGUAACAGGCAGAAUAAGGUGAGCCUUUAGUGAAAGCCAGCCAACACACUGGAAAUGGACCCUUUAUAAAAGCAGUUAAGAGCAACCCAGGAGACAUGGGACACUGACACAGGAGGAUCUCAGGGGCUCCACAGCACAGGCCCUCCCCGUUUGUUUUUGCCCGGGAUCAGUCUUUCAUAAAAUAAGUCCAGCAAGCCGGGCACAGUGGCGCAGGCCUGUAAUCCCAGUGGCUCAGGAGGCAGAGGCAGGGGGAUUGCAAGUUUAAAGCCAGCCUCAGCAACUUAGCAAGGCCCUGUCUCUAAAUAAAAUAUAAAAAGGGCUGGGGAUGUGGCUCAGUGGUCAAGUGUCCCUGGGUUCAAUUCCAUAUGAAAUAUAUAUAUAUAUAUGUGUGUGUGUGUGUGUGUGUAUACAUCUCCAGCAUACCCUCCCCCAGCCCUCCCUUCCCCUCCUCUGAGGUGACACCUUGUGACUUUGCUGAGGCGGCCUGUGCAUAUGCAAACACACAGCUCACGUGUCAGUACUCUCCUUUCUCUGCCUUUCUUGGAUCACAGAGUCUCCCGGAGGUGCUGAUUAAAGCUCUGUGUUCUGAUGCAGAGAUUAGAUGGCUCCUGCCCAAGGAUGACACACAAAUUUGUGACAUAGUCCACAUUUUUGUGAGAAAACAAAAACAAAAAAACACUCUGGGUUCUUUCCCUGAAAUAGGGCCACGUGAAAGUAUUGACAGCUUCAGGGGUUCACACAUAACUCAUUUAUUCUCCUCAGGAAGGUAUUCUGGUUGUGGCUUACAGCAUCUGGGGCUGAUCUACACUGGAUCUCCUUAAACCCUGUCCCUCUUCCCCAC
rnacentral:lncRNA from 1 species